rnacentral:rRNA from 1 species
AGCAGCUCACUGGGUGUAAAGCGUGCGCAGGCGGUUUUGUAAGACAGAGGUGAAAUCCCCGGGCUCAACCUGGGAACUGCCUUUGUGACUGCAAGGCUGGAGUGCGGCAGAGGGGGAUGGAAUUCCGCGUGUAGCAGUGAAAUGCGUAGAUAUGCGGAGGAACACCGAUGGCGAAGGCAAUCCCCUGGGCCUGCACUGACGCUCAUGCACGAAAGCGUGGGGAGCAAACA